rnacentral:rRNA from 1 species
ACCGUGCAGUCGAGCGAGAAAGUCCUUCGGGAUGAGUACAGCGGCGAACGGGUGAGUAAUAUAUAAGAAUCUGCCUUUUAGUGAAGAAUACCUUUGGGAAACCAAAGUUAAUGCUGCAUAAGUCCCUUCGGGGAGAAAGAUGGCCUCUUUGCUGUCGCUAAAAGAUGAGCUUAUAUUCUAUUAGUUAGUUGGUGGGGUAAAGGCCUACCAAGACUAUGAUGGAUAACCGGCCUGAGAGGGUGUACGGUCACAUUGGAACUUAGAUACGGUCCAGACUCCUACGGGAGGCAGCAGUGAGGAAUAUUGCACAAUGGGCGAAAGCCUGAUGCAGCGACGCCGCGUGGAGGAUGAAGGUUUUCGGAUUGUAAACUCCUGUUAAGUGGGAAAAAAGACCUGCCAUGAAUAAGGGCGGGUGAUGAUGGUACCGCUAAAGAAAGCACCGGCUAACUUCGUGCCAGCAGCCGCGGUAAUACGAGGGGUGCAAACGUUAUUCGGAAUUAUUGGGCGUAAAGGGUGCGUAGACGGCGCUUCAAGUCAAUUAUUAAAUCUUUUGGCCUAACCAAAAGCUUGUGGUUGAGACUGUUGUGCUAGAGGAUGGAAGAGAGAAGUGGAAUUCUCGGAGUAGCGGUAAAAUGCGUAGAUCUCGAGAGGAACACCGAUGGCGAAGGCAGCUUCUUGGUCCAUUUCUGACGUUGAAGUA